UACGAAGGGGGCUAGCGUUGCUCGGAAUCACUGGGCGUAAAGCGCACGUAGGCGGAUUGUUAAGUCAGGGGUGAAAUCCUGGAGCUCAACUCCAGAACUGCCUUUGAUACUGGCGAUCUCGAGUCCGGGAGAGGUGAGUGGAACUGCGAGUGUAGAGGUGAAAUUCGUAGAUAUUCGCAAGAACACCAGUGGCGAAGGCGGCUCACUGGCCCGGUACUGACGCUGAGACGCGAAGGCGUGGGGAGCGAACGGG
rnacentral:rRNA from 1 species